AAGGAUGACUGCCCUAUGGGUUGUAAACUUCUUUUAUAUGGGAAUAAAGUUUUCCACGUGUGGAAUUUUGUAUGUACCAUAUGAAUAAGGAUCGGCUAACUCCGUGCCAGCAGCCGCGGUAAUACGGAGGAUCCGAGCGUUAUCCGGAUUUAUUGGGUUUAAAGGGAGCGUAGGUGGACAGUUAAGUCAGUUGUGAAAGUUUGCGGCUCAACCGUAAAAUUGCAGUUGAUACUGGCUGUCUUGAGUACAGUAGAGGUGGGCGGAAUUCGUGGUGUAGCGGUGAAAUGCUUAGAUAUCACGAAGAACUCCGAUUGCGAAGGCAGCUCACUGGACUGCAACUGACACUGAUGCUCGAAAGUGUGGGUAUCAAACAGGAUUAGAUACCCUGGUAGUCCACACAGUAAACGAUGAAUACUCGCUGUUUGCGAUAUACAGUAAGCGGCCAAGCGAAAGCAUUAAGUAUUCCACCUGGGGAGUACGCCGGCAACGGUGAAACUCAAAGGAAUUGACGGGGGCCCGCACAAGCGGAGGAACAUGUGGUUUAAUUCGAUGAUACGCGAGGAACCUUACCCGGGCUUAAAUUGCAUUUGAAUAUAUUGGAAACAGUAUAGCCGUAAGGCAAAUGUGAAGGUGCUGCAUGGUUGUCGUCAGCUCGUGCCGUGAGGUGUCGGCUUAAGUGCCAUAACGAGCGCAACCCUUAUCUUUAGUUACUAACAGGUCAUGCUGAGGACUCUAGAGAGACUGCCGUCGUAAGAUGUGAGGAAGGUGGGGAUGACGUCAAAUCAGCACGGCCCUUACGUCCGGGGCUACACACGUGUUACAAUGGGGGGUACAGAAGGCAGCUACCUGGUGACAGGAUGCUAAUCCCAAAAGCCUCUCUCAGUUCGGAUCGAAGUCUGCAACCCGACUUCGUGAAGCUGGAUUCGCUAGUAAUCGCGCAUCAGCCAUGGCGCGGUGAAUACGUUCCCGGGCCUUGUACACACCGCCCGUCAAGCCAUGAAAGCCGGGGGUACCUGAAGUACGUA
rnacentral:rRNA from 1 species